GCUGGCGGCAUGCCUAACACAUGCAAGUCGAACGAAGGCUUCGGCCUUAGUGGCGCACGGGUGCGUAACGCGUGGGAAUCUGCCCAAAGGUAGGGAAUAACUCAGGGAAACUUGUGCUAAUACCCUAUAAUGUCUUCGGACCAAAGAUUUAUCGCCAUUAGAUGGGCCCGCGUCGGAUUAGGUAGUUGGUGGGGUAACGGCCCACCAAGCCGACGAUCCGUAGCUGGUUUGAGAGAAUGACCAGCCACACUGGGACUGAGACACGGCCCAGACUCCUACGGGAGGCAGCAGUGGGGAAUCUUGGACAAUGGGCGCAAGCCUGAUCCAGCCAUGCCGCGUGAGUGACGAAGGCCUUAGGGUUGUAAAGCUCUUUUGCCGGGGACGAUAAUGACGGUACCCGGAGAAUAAGUCCCGGCUAACUUCGUGCCAGCAGCCGCGGUAAUACGAAGGGGACUAGCGUUGUUCGGAAUUACUGGGCGUAAAGCGCACGUAGGCGGAAUUGUCAGUCAGGGGUGAAAUCCCGGGGCUCAACCUCGGAACUGCCCUUGAUACAGCAAUUCUCGAGUCCGGAAGAGGUGAGUGGAAUUCCUAGUGUAGAGGUGAAAUUCGUAGAUAUUANGAAGAACACCAGUGGCGAAGGCGGCUCACUGGUCCGGUACUGACG
rnacentral:rRNA from 1 species